AUGUGGUGGUCCUUGAGCCCUAUCUCUUGCUUUCUGGCACUGACCUGUGCCUAUGACAAGCCUUCUUUCUACCCACUGUCGAAUGACCUGAUUAGCUAUAUCAACAAGCAGAAUACAGCAUGGCAGGCUGGACACAACUUCUACAAUGUUGACAUAAGCUAUCUGAAGAAGUUGUGUGGUACAGUCCUGGGUGGACUCAAGCUACCAGAAAGGGUUGGGUUCUGUGAGAACCUAAAUCUACCUGAAACCUUUGAUGCAGGGGAACAGUGGUCAAACUGCCUGACCAUCGAACAGAUUAGAGAUUAGGGGUCGUGGGGCUCUUGUUGGGCAUUUGUGAUAGUGAAAGCCAUUUCUGACCGAAUAUGCAUUCAUACCAAUGGCCGAGUCAACGUGGAGGUGUCUGCUGAGGACCUGCUUACCUGCUAUGGUAUCCAGUGUGGGGACGGCUGUAAUGGUGGCUAUCCCUCUGGAGCAUGGACCUUCUGGACGAUAAAAGGCCUGGUUUCUAGUAGAAUCUACAAUUCUCAUGUAAGUUGUUUGCCAUACACCAUUCCUUCCUGUGAGCGUCAUGUUAAUGGUUCUCGUCCUCCCUCCCCUCUCUCCCCCCCCCCCGCCCCCCGUGCACUGGAGGAGAUACUCCCAAGUACAAGAGCUGUGAGGCUGGCUACUCCCCAUUCUAUAAAGACAAUAAGAAUUAUGGGUGCACUUCUACAGCAUGUCUGACAGCAAGAAGGAGAUAGUGGUGGAAAUACACAAAAUUGGCCCAGUGGAGGUUGCCUUCACUGUGUUUGCUGACUUCUUGUGUUACAAAUCAGGAGUAUACAAGCAUGAAGCCGGUGAUAUGAUGGGUGACCACGCCAUCUGCAUCCUGGACUUGAGGUGUGUGCCUGUGUUUCCCUUAUGGCUGACAGCCAACUCUUGGAACAUUGACUGAGGAGAUAAUGACUUCUUUAAAAUCCUCAGAGGAGAGAACCACUGUGGGACUGAAUCAGAAGUUGUGGCCUGAAUCCCACACACUAACCAGUACUGGGGAAGAUUCUAAUCUACUGUGACUUGAUUAUCUAGUCCUUAGGGGCUUUUUCUAAAAUUUAGCAACCCAGGCAGGGAGUGAGGCAGACAGUAGAGUCUUUGAUUCUUUGAGUUCACCUAAUAUCCAUGAUGCUUUCAGCAAGGUUUGGGCAAUUG